rnacentral:rRNA from 1 species
AUUGAACGCUGGCGGCAGGCCUAACACAUGCAAGUCGAGCGAACGGCGGACGGGUGAGUAAUGUAUGGGGACUGCCCGAUAGAGGGGGAUAACUACUGGAAACGGUGGCUAAUACCGCAUCCUAUCGGAUAACCCAUAUGGGAUUAGCUAGUAGGUGGGGUAAAGGCUCACCUAGGCGACGAUCUCUAGCUGGUCGGAGAGGAUGAUCAUCCACACUGUAACGGAGACACGGCCCAUACUCCUACGGAGGACGCAGUGGGGAAUAUGGCACAAUGGGCGCGAGCCUGAUGCAGCCAUGCCGCGUGUAUGAAGAAGGCCUUAGGUUUGUAAAGUACUUUCAGCGGGGAGGCGUUACCCGCAGAAGAAGCACCGGCUAACUCCGUGCCAGCAGCCGCGGUAAUUC